rnacentral:SRP_RNA from 13 species
GCUGGAAGGCAGCAGCGCUAGCAAG